rnacentral:rRNA from 1 species
GACGAACGCUGGCGGCGUGCUUAACACAUGCAAGUCGAACGGAAAGGCCCUGCUUUUGUGGGGUGCUCGAGUGGCGAACGGGUGAGUAACACGUGAGUAACCUGCCCUUGACUUUGGGAUAACUUCAGGAAACUGGGGCUAAUACCGGAUAGGAGCUCCUGCUGCAUGGUGGGGGUUGGAAAGUUUCGGCGGUUGGGGAUGGACUCGCGGGUUAUCAGCUUGUUGGUGGGGUAGUGGCUUACCAAGGCUUUGACGGGUAGCCGGCCUGGGAGGGUGACCGGCCACAUUGGGACUGCGAUACGGCCCAGACUGCUACGGGAGGCAGCAGUGGGGAAUAUUGCACAAUGGGCGGAAGCCUGAUGCAGCAACGCCGCGUGCGGGAUGACGGCCUUCGGGUUGUAAACCGCUUUCGCCUGUGACGAAGCGUGAGUGACGGUAAUGGGUAAAGAAGCACCGGCUAACUACGUG